rnacentral:sRNA from 1 species
AAAAGAACUUUGGAGAGAGAGUUAAAGAGUACGUGAAACCGUUGGAGGGGAAGCGAAUGCGGCCAGCAGCGUUUCCGCGUGGAUUCAGCCGGCAACGCGACGAGGCGGUCGUCGUCGGAUUCGAAGGAACCGCGGCGACCGUUUCUCGUCGUCGAGUCGUGUCGCAUUUCUCCGGGAACGUGCCAACGCCGGCGGGAGAUCGCGUCGUCGACGCACGGUCAGGUGGGCCAGCUCGUCGUCGAGUCGGCCGUUAUAGAUCGUGCCGGGACGCGUUGUCCCGUCGAGGAGACGGAAUGACGGUGGCAGCGCGCGCCGGAUUCGGCCAGGCGGAUCGAUUGUCGCGCGACGGCGCUGAUGCGGACUGCAUGCAGUGCGCGUUUGUCGUCGUUGCGCGCGGUAGAUCGCGGUCGUGAGCGCGCUGAG